UGGAACAUUGGUGCACCAUGUUAGUCUUUAGGGAAGUCUUUUUUUCCCAUCCCCAUCAAAUAAGACUUACAUAAAUAAAGGUUAAGACUUGUGGGCGUCUGGCAAGCAAGAUUAUUUCAUAUAUCCUAAUGACCUAACAGUCAGUUAUAUAGCUCACCUGAGCUACAAAUGAACUACAAAUCCCAUAAUGCAACACAACAGCUACUCCACGCUGUUGAUUGUGGUGCCUGCCUUUAAGCUGCUCAAACGCUUUGCAUGUGUGGUCACUCCACAUGCAAAGAACAUUUUUAGAAAAUGACAACAUCUGUGAGUGUCCACAGCUCAAACAGUGCCAAGUGCAACAUAAAAUGACUUAUGAUAUAUGAUAUAUGUUGAUGUAAAAAACUUAUUGCUACAUUUCUUUAUUUAUUAUAUCGUAUUCUGCUUUUCCUAUACACAUAAUAUACCAAACAUAUUCCAAAGAAUAAGUUUAAUCAUUAUACCAAACACAUUCAUUUAGUAUGAUCAUCUUGUCCACCUAACUCUGACACAUUUCUCUUUAUUUCCCUGUAGUUGUAAAUCACAUUAAAACGUAUAAAUUUGAUCCUACUUAAAACUGCUUCGAUUUGUCUUGAAUUAAUAAUGGGAACAAAUGGAAUUUUUAAAAGAAAAUAUUAUCCAGAUCCCCCUUCUCCCUUAACACUUGAGAGGAGUUUUAGAUGUAUUGUUGGAAUAUCUGUAUGUCAACUAUUGGCGUAAAAGGCAGAGUGAGAAUGCUGAGCUGGACAAUGCUUUGGGAAAAGAAAACUUCUUUCUUAACCAAUACAAUGCCUUGGUUGGACCUGACUCGUAUCUUAAGCUGAAAGAAAAAGAAAAAGAGGAAGGGAGUUGUUUCUAGAUAAAUAUCUGUUAAUGGGUCAUAAUGACAGGUAAUGACAGACGAGAGCUUCCUAGGAAAACAAGGAAGUAGAGGAAUAAACAAACUACAGCUACAAUCUUGAUUACUUUGUCCACAGUUUUGUCCAAGAACCCAAGUAGGGAAUAUUUGUGCAGACUUGGGGCUUGGAGAGAACAUCGGCAGCAGCAACCGCAGGCUUUCAUUUAUUACUAGUCUAUAUAUUAAAAGUAUUUUUAGUGUUAAUUAUAUGGGAACUUUAUCGCGUAGCUUCCACUGACUUCUGCACUCCCAGAUCAACACUGAGGUGCAGGACAGAAGAAGAGGUUCCAGUGAGAUCCAUCUCAUCUGCCUUGAAAUUGAU